CAGAUCUGCAAACACAACAAAUUUAAAUAACGAUAGCCGUUCCUAAUGCCGGAACUUGGGAAGCCUGUGUUUUGGGGGUAAAGGGAAAGAAGGAGAGCGCUCAUAAAAUCCAAGUGCCAGAAGCGUGGGAUGCCUGUGGUUUGGGCAGGAGAGUGGACAAGAGAACGCUUUCAGAUAAAAGCAAAAUGGCGGACAUUCACGAAAAGGGAAAAGUUUUAUAAAGCUAAACUUACAAGACUCAAUAUCGGCUCCUGCGAGUUUUCCUUGUGGGCCGAAGUGGCAGCGAAUGAACUUUCCCUGUUAAAAUGAGAAAGUAGUUCUCAACACACUGGUCAUGGCUGGCCCAGACGCGAGACGUACUCUGGUGGCCUUGCGAGGAUCGCAACGAGGAGCGCCAGAGGGACGGACGGUUCUACAAAAGAUGAAGUUGGUCUGACGCGCGACAAGGUGUUGACAUUUCCAAGUGACGCGAGCGCGAUGGUGUAACGUAAUGAGAGCGGUGGAAAGUACGCAAAGGGUCACGACGAGAGAAAAAGACGGAAGCUUCAGGGGUGUUUCUCAAGUCUGCUUGCCCUUGCAUGGUCGGGGAGUGACGAGAGAUGGACUGGUUACCCGCGGCAUUCGUCCCGACGUUAAUGCAAGAGACUGUUUGAAUUUACAAUUUUGUUUUGCUAUGUCCAAAUAAAUAAAAUAUGAGAAACGACAAAAA